AACACUGUUAACCUGCGGUACCUGCGGAAGGAUCAUUACAGAGUUGCAAAACUCCCACAAACCAUCGCGAAUCUUACCCGUACGGUUGCCUCGGCGCUGGCGGUCCGGAAGGCCCUCGGGCCCCCGGACCCUCGGGUCCCCCGCUCGCGGGGGGCUGCCCGCCGGAGUGCCGAAACCAAACUCUUGAUAUUUUAUGUCUCUCUGAGUAAACUUUUAAAUAAGUCAAAACUUUUAACAACG
rnacentral:misc_RNA from 1 species